UACGUAUGGUGCGAACGUUGUUCGGAAUCACUGGGCAUAAAGAGCACGUAGGCGGUUGGGCAAGUCCGAUGUGAAAUCCCCCAGCUUAACUGGGGAACUGCAUUGGAUACUACCUGACUUGAGUACGGGAGGGGAGAGUGGAAUUCCAGGUGGAGCGGUGAAAUGCGUAGAUAUCUGGAGGAACGCCAGUGGCGAAAGCGACUCUCUGGUCCGUAACUGACGCUGAGGUGCGAAAGCUAGGGGAGCAAACGGG
rnacentral:rRNA from 1 species